rnacentral:rRNA from 1 species
UACGUAGGGUGCGAGCGUUAAUCGGAAUUACUGGGCGUAAAGUGUGCGCAGGCGGCUUCGCAAGUCGAGUGUGAAAUCCCCGAGCUUAACUUGGGAAUUGCGCUCGAAACUACGGAGCUGGAGUGUGGCAGAGGAAGGUGGAAUUCCACGUGUAGCGGUGAAAUGCGUAGAGAUGUGGAGGAACACCGAUGGCGAAGGCAGCCUUCUGGGCCAACACUGACGCUCAUGCACGAAAGCGUGGGGAGCAAACGGG